UACGAAGGGGGCUAGCGUUGCUCGGAAUCACUGGGCGUAAAGGGUGCGUAGGCGGGUUUUUAAGUCAGGGGUGAAAUCCUGGAGCUCAACUCCAGAACUGCCUUUGAUACUGAAGAUCUUGAGUCCGGGAGAGGUGAGUGGAACUGGCGAGUGUAGAGGUGAAAUUCGUAGAUAUCGCAAGAACACCAGUGGCGAAGGCGGCUCACUGGCCCGGUACUGACGCUGAGGCACGGAAAGCGUGGGGAGCAAACAGG
rnacentral:rRNA from 1 species